GCCAGGUGAUCCCCUCUGCCCUGUACUCCUCCUGCAAGGACAAACCAGCCCGCAUGAGAUUAAGUGUUCUCCAUCAAGAUUUGGUUUAUCAGCUCCUGCUUCGGUUGGCACUGAGGACAUUUGCACUGCCCUAUUCAAACAAACACCGGCUGGUGGAGAUCUGGCAGUCCUGGACGAGGAAGCUCCGCCGGCUCACCUCAAACCGAGCUGGGGCUCGGCUGCACCUCAAACAUCAUCCUGAAAAUAAACUCUCAGGCCGCUGAAAGCCAAAGGCUCCCUGGUGAUUUAAGGAAAACAAACACCGACUCUGCUGAAACAAUGAGGUGCACCAUCCUGCGAGGGCGAGAUCACCACCGGCACUUUGACAGCUAUUAGCUGAGCCUCCUAAGGCUCCUUCAACACUGCCGCUGCAACCAUCAGUAACGGGCCCACCUGCUGCAGCGUCACAGUCCAUCAGCACUCGGAGAGAGCCGAUGACGGCCGACAGCUGCUGCCACGCACGCCGGCGACUUCAAAUAUCUACGCAUCUGACCACCAAAACCACCAGCAGCCUGCUCGGUAAAACACUGAUGAAACAACUCGAACUCAGCUCUUUUAAUAAUGAC